GUGAGUACGCGUGGGAUCUACCUAUUUCUACGGAACAACUGUUGGAAACGACUGCUAAUACCGUAUACGCCCUAUGGGGGAAAGAUUUAUCGGAAUUGGAUGAGCCCGCGUAAGAUUAGCUAGUUGGUGAGGUAAUGGCUCACCAAGGCGACGAUCUUUAGCUGGUCUGAGAGGAUGAUCAGCCACACUGGGACUGAGACACGGCCCAGACUCCUACGGGAGGCAGCAGUGGGGAAUAUUGGACAAUGGGCGCAAGCCUGAUCCAGCCAUGCCGCGUGAGUGAUGAAGGCCUUAGGGUUGUAAAGCUCUUUCAGUAGGGAAGAUAAUGACGGUACCUACAGAAGAAGCCCCGGCUAACUUCGUGCCAGCAGCCGCGGUAAUACGAAGGGGGCUAGCGUUGUUCGGAUUUACUGGGCGUAAAGCGCACGUAGGCGGAAUGUUAAGUCAGAGGUGAAAUCCUGGAGCUCAACUCCGGAACUGCCUUUGAUACUGGCAAUCUAGAGUCCGGAAGAGGUAAGUGGAACUCCUAGUGUAGAGGUGGAAUUCGUAGAUAUUAGGAAGAACACCAGUGGCGAAGGCGGCUUACUGGUCCGGAACUG
rnacentral:rRNA from 1 species